GACGAACGCUGGCGGCGCGCUUAAUACAUGCAAGUCGAGCGAGAACUAGGGCUUCGGCCCUGGGGACAGCGGCGAACGGGUGAGUAACACGUGGGUAAUCAACCCCCGACACCGGGAUAGCCCAGGGAAACUUGGAUUAAUACCGGAUGCCCCAUCUGGCUUUCGAGCCGGCUGGAAAAGGGUAGCUUCGGCCUCCGGUCGGGGACGAGCCCGCGGCGGAUUAGCUUGUUGGUGAGGUAAAGGCGCACCAAGGCGACGAUCCGUAGCUGGUCUGAGAGGACGAUCAGCCACACUGGGACUGAGACACGGCCCAGACUCCUACGGGAGGCAGCAGUAGGGAAUCUUGCGCAAUGGGCGAAAGCCUGACGCAGCGACGCCGCGUGAGGGAAGAAGGCCUUCGGGUUGUAAACCUCUUUCAGGAGGGACGAAGCCACUCGGGUUAAUAGCCUAGAGGGUGACGGUACCUCCAGAAGAAGCCCCGGCUAACUACGUGCCAGCAGCCGCCGUAA
rnacentral:rRNA from 1 species